AGCGGGGUAGGGUAGCCAGGGCUAACCCGCCGGGCUCAUAACCCGGAGAACGCUGGUUCAAAUCCAGCCCCCGCUA
rnacentral:tRNA from 1 species